UUGAACGCUGGCGGCAGGUCUAACACAUGCAAGUCGAGCGGAUGAAGGGAGCUUGCUCCUGGAUUCAGCGGCGGACGGGUGAGUAAUGCCUAGGAAUCUGCCUGGUAGUGGGGGAUAACGUCCGGAAACGGGCGCUAAUACCGCAUACGUCCUGAGGGAGAAAGUGGGGGAUCUUCGGACCUCACGCUAUCAGAUGAGCCUAGGUCGGAUUAGCUAGUUGGUGGGGUAAAGGCCUACCAAGGCGACGAUCCGUAACUGGUCUGAGAGGAUGAUCAGUCACACUGGAACUGAGACACAGUCCAGACUCCUACGGGAGGCAGCAGUGGGGAAUAUUGGACAAUGGGCGAAAGCCUGAUCCAGCCAUGCCGCGUGUGUGAAGAAGGUCUUCGGAUUGUAAAGCACUUUAAGUUGGGAGGAAGGGCAGUAAGUUAAUACCUUGCUGUUUUGACGUUACCAACAGAAUAAGCACCGGCUAACUUCGUG
rnacentral:rRNA from 1 species